UGUAUUUCAAGAGAGAAAAGAGACAAGAGAGAGAAAAAAGUGAGGACAGCCACAAAGCUCCAAAUGAGAACAGUGCCUCAGCUCAGGACAAUGAAAUGACUAGACAGAAUUAAAAAAAAAAAUUACAUUGCGGAGUAAAUUCCGUGCAUUAAAAUAUCUAAAAGCAGGGUUACCAGAAGGGAAAAAAAAUAAUUAGCUUCCAAAGUAUAAUAAGAAAAGUCAGAAUUAGCCCUUGGCAUAGACAAAUAACAUUAGAUAAUAAAGACUUAACAGCAGGGGUCUUAACCUUGAUUCAAUGGAGACUUUUCAGGGGGACUCUGAACUUAGAUAAGAAAAAUACAUCUUUGUUAAUACUGCUAAUUGCACUUUGGCAUUUCUUUCAGUUAUAACUGUUGGUAACAAACCAUGAUUCUGCAAAGUGGUCCAUGGGUUUCACCAGACUGCCAAAAAGGUCUAUGACACAAAAAAAGUUAAGGAGAUGUGCUUUAAAGGGAUAAAUGAAAAGUCUGUUAUUGGUCAGGCAAGAUUUGGUAUCUAUAAUGAGUGAUCUAUUAUGGAUAAAAAUGGAAUCAACAAAUUAAUAAAAUGACAACAACAGGAAGAAAGUGGUACAAAAUUUAAAUGAAAGAAUGGGAUGAAUUGGAAACAAAAUUCUUGGGCUAGGAUGCAAAUCUGAAGAAGUGACAGAAAAUACAGUAAAAUGAGAUCGGAAAUUCUCCAACUGGAAAAAGGUUCAAAACUCUUAUAAGCAAAAGUGAGAAUUAGAAGACGGGCCUCAGAGAAUUCAUCUGAGUCAUUUAUAUUGCCCCUCCCAAUUUUUUUAAAGUAAUCUAUAUAACCAUUUCCAAGAAGUCACAACAUUGAAUUUCCCGGCAAAAUCAAGCAAAAAGAUAUGGCCAAAAAUUAAAAUUACUGGAUGCCCCCUAAGAGAAAUAUCAGGUUCAAUUCAUCCAAAUACAUUGCCACAAACCUUUAGAACUUUGUUGAAAAGGAGGAAAUUAUGCAAAUGUCCUGAAUUUUAAUGUACAAGAUUAUUCAUCCACCAUGAGAAAACACAGAAAAGGCUAGAAUGUGAUUUGCAAAAAAUCAAGGCACUGAUUGGACUACAUCUGCAGAAUCUUCUACCUAAGAAAACUAGGAAUAAUAUUCAAAGGUAAUCAAAAAUCCAGAGAUGGCAUUGGAAUCUGCCCAGAUCUUGAAGGAUGAGGAUAUGGAGACAGAACCAGGAGCUCAAGAUUAGCUAGGACAACUCUGAACUGGGGACAUCUUCAAUUCUCUUCAAAGGAGAGGAGAUAUUAUUUGGUGUUUUCCUUGAUUGAUGCCUCCCAACUCUCUUCUUGAAGAAAACAUUCAUGAUGUUUAGACAUUAUUUCUGUAUAGUGCAUAAUGCCAUGAUCUGUUUUGUUUCUUAUUGCCAAUCCAUGUUUUCAAAACUUUUUUUUUGUUUUUCUUUCCUAUGCUCAUCUGUAUACUGAAGACAUUAGCUAUGCACACAUGUUUAUAUAAUAUGCUUGUAUGUGUGCAUGUGUGUGGGGUCUUAUCCAAUUCUUAAUAUAGUUUUCCUCGUUUUCUGCAAGAGAUUUUGUUAUGGAAACUGCAAUUUUCCUCAUAGCUAUAAUUUUGCUGUGGUAUAUCACUGAACUAUAAAAAGAUGAAAUAUUCAUGGAAUGAUUUCUUGUUGCCUUUUGAUUCAUGACAAGACCACUUCUCCCACUUCUUUGUUGCCUAUCCAAGGAAAAUCUAUAAGACUUUUCUCCAUUUAGACAAAACUUCAUUUUGCCUUCUAGUUUAAUUUAUGGUAGAAUAUUGAGAUUCAUUGGAUUCAUUUCCUCAAGAAGUCAGGUCAUUCACUGCUCACCAGCAAGGAUCUCAGAGUUAGAACACCAAGAUCUAAAUGAAUGUUUUUGAAACAUGGAUUCUCAGCAUCUGUUGUUCCAUUUUCUGCUACUGACACAAUUGUCAGAUGAGGAGAUGACAGAGGCACAAAGGUGAGAGGUAUUUCAUCUUUUUUUUCUUUUUUAUAAGUUGUUGCCUGAUGAAAGAAUUCAUCACCAAGUGACCAUUUACUACAGAUGAGGUUCUCCAUGCCUAGCUAACCAGAUCCUUAGGCAGUUUUCAUAAUCUUUUGCCAAACUUAUAUCCCACACACACACCUUUUAUACCUGGAACUAAUAAUUGUUUUUAUAUUUUAAAAUAAAGUUUUAUUAUAUUUUAAAAUAUAGAAAUCGUUCUGAUUUCCUGACCCCUAUAAAACAGGUGUGGGCUGAAUUUGGCCUCAAAUUAUGGUUUGUGACCCCUGGGCUAGACUAUAAUGAUCAUGUAUGUGUUAGUAUAAUGGUCAAUAAACUUGAGAAACUUAAAACUAAUUCAAUAAACUUAAAAAAAAUGGAAAACUUAAAAAAAUAGUGGAGAGAGUAUCCAUUAUUUAAAAAGUUGGAAAAACCAAAUAAUUUGCUAAGUAAUGGAAAUAGACCAAACAAAUACCCCAUAAAUGCCAAAUAGUUCACCAAAUUAAUUACAUAUGUAUUAAAAAUUACACAUUUAUUACUGAAUUUAUCACUGAAUUAAUUACAUAUGUAUUUUGAAAAAAACAUAAAAACUAGAAGUAAGGGAUUGGUUAUACCUUUCACAACUGUGGAGAAGAGGUACAUGUUUAACAAACUGCACAUUAGAAGAAAUUAUAAAUUCACUCAAUUGUGCCUCCAAGUACCCUGAACCAAGGAACUCUUGAAAUGUUGGGUUUCUCCCACUGCUGCUGUAUGCAAUGGCUGCUGGGAAUGAGAUGCUUUCCAUAGCUGGUUCCUCCAUACAAAAUAUUCCCCAGACCUCUACUAUGUCAUAACUUUAUUUGGUACCUUGGACUUAGCUCCUUACAGCCCUGCAGAUAAAUUCCUCAUUCUUGCUCAUCCAAUAAAGUUGCUCCUUUCAAUUAAGUCAGAGAAAAGUAUUCAAACUUUAUAAAGGUAUCUGGGUGUAAAGGUAUCUUUACAGUUAAUUUAACAUCUUGUUAACACCUUGUGAUAACACUCCAAGCUAGAAGGAGUGGUUAAAAAAAAAAAACUCCUCUAUACAUACAUACA